ensembl:lncRNA
GUGAUUCUAUAAACUUCCCUAAAUGUCUUCAUCAACCAUGUGAAUUACCUGUUUCUCGAGGUUGAUUUCUACUUUUUUAGUUUUCUUACUCAUGUGGUCAGUUUUUCAGUUUUGAUCUCAUUCUAAAAUAGAUACAUGGUAACUGGUCAGAUAUAUUUUUAUAUAGCACAGGAUUCUUGACAGACAUGUCAAACUGAACUGACAUUUUGCCCAUUUUAAGUGCCUACAGACAUAGUGAAAUGGCCCUGUUCAUCUUCAUAAUAUUUUAUCUUAUACUGGAGGUUAAAUUGCAAGGUUUGGCCACCAUGUCGUCUUUGCCACCAGUCACAGAGGGCAGCCCAACUACAGUGAUUCCCAAUGGAACCUUACAAGUGAAUUUGUCCACUGCAUCAACAGUGAACACAACAUUUUUGGGUGUAACAUCCACUACUGAGUCUGAAAUCACAACAGACCUGAUAACCAAUAUGUCAAGUCCAAGUACCCAAGACAACCAUAGUUUAAAAGAUCCUGCAAAUGCAUCCUUAGAAUCGACUACACUUUCUGAUAAUACAGAACGUGCUUCAGUUUUCCCCUUGAUGACUAAAGGCCCUGAAAUCAGAAAGUACUCAAAUACAAAAAUGUUCUUCCUCAUUGCUGUGGUUGCAUCUGGUGGAGGAAUUGUACUGACUGGACUCGUGGGCACUUGUUUGUACAGAUAUACACGAAAGUCAAAGGUAGAGAGGAUUUGGAUCGAAUCGAGCAGCAAAAAACAGAAACAGGGACCAGUGGCCAGUUCAGACUCAUCUGGAGAGGAAGAUACAGUGCUUUACUCAACCAUCAACUUCAUUCAACCCCCCUCUCAACCACCAGGAAACAAUGAAGAAUCAAUUCAAAAUGAGGUUGAACUGAAUCAUUUGUAUUACACCGUCAUAACCAAACCGGCAAUCUCCAGUGACAGCAGGAGUGUUUACAGUCAGCUGAAGAUUCACAUGAACAGAAUAACCACAUCAGAAGGCACACAGCAUGAAUAUGCAUACUUUUAAGCAAUAAUAAUUGUUAUUGUGAAUGGCAGUUGUAUAGAUCAACAUAAGGACAGUCAUAUUUCAUCCUGUUACUUGUGUGAAUAUUUUCACCUGAUGUUUAUUAUUUAAAGCGCCUCAUUUUUAUGUUUCUCUUUUUGUUCCUUUUGUACUUUUCCGCUGUUCCUCAAAGUUAUGUCUAAAAUCUCUUUGAAGCCUGGAGUAAUGGCUUCUGAAAAUCCCACUUUGUCAUCACAGGAAUAAAAUAUAUUCAAAUAGAAAACUGUUAUUUUGA